UUUUUAACUCCGAAGCCUCUGCGCCUAAGUCCGCCGCAUCGGAUAAGGCGCCUUGGCCGCAGCGCUGAUGCUGCCGGGUCAGAAGGGGAAACCGUCUGGCCUCUCGUGUUCAGAAAGGAGACC
rnacentral:ncRNA from 1 species